rnacentral:lncRNA from 1 species
GCUCUGCUCUGUGAGUUAAACUCAAUCAUCGCAAAGAAUUUUCUGAGAAUGCUUCUGUCUUGUUUUUAGAUGAAGUUCUUUCCUUUACUACGACAGGCCUCAAAGAGGUCCAAAUCUCCACUUGCAGAUUCUGCAGAAGGAGUGUUUCAAACCUGAACUGUCAGAGAAAGGUUCAACACUGUGAGUUGAAUGCAAGCAUCACGAAGAAGGUUCUGAGAAUGCUUCUGUUUACGUAGGUGAGUUCUCUCCCGUAUCCAACGAAAUCCUCAAAGCGGUCC